ensembl:lncRNA
AUAUUUAUAUAUAUAUAUAUAUAUUUGCUUCUCUCAUAUAUAUAUAUAUUUGUUCAACAUCCACUAUUAAACUAUUAGUUUUUUUACUUUUCUGCAUUGGAAAAAAAUUGGAUUCUUGUAACUGAGUAUUUCAAAGUGCUGUAGCCUGUUUUUUUCACGUAGCAUUUGUUCCAUUAUAGCACAUAUUAACAAACCGCAGAUGAAAUGACAUGAAAUCAGCUGUUAACACUCUGAUGUGUAACCGUCAUCCGUUUGUGUUGCAGCAGCAUCUUAGACCUUCAACAUUGAUUAUUUAUGAACUAUCAAUACUUCAACAAACGGUCCAUCUGUCCAAUCUGCACAGCAUCUGCCACCCGCAGCUUGGUCUCUUUUUUUUAUGAAUAUCAACCCGACCACAUUGUGCACUGCAGUGAAGGCAGCUCUGCAGGUUGUGUGUUUGUGGGGAGGGAGGGGGGCAGCUUGUGCGUGGUGGUGAUGAUGAUGAUGCGUGUGACGCCACGAGCAGGAGCGCAGCAGCAGACAGGACCCGGGCUGAAGCAGCAGCAGCAGCAGCGCCGCCACUAAAUACUAGAAUAUUAUUAUAUUAAUUUUUGCAGGCUAAAUUGUGGUAUAUGUGCAUACAGACCAUAUAGGUCUCCUGUAUUGCUUAUAUACACAUAUAAGCCCUAUGUACAUACAAGAUAUGUCUUAUACAGCUCAUGGCAGGAUCUGGUCAUUAUACAGCUCAUAUCUCACUGUCAUACAUGAUGCCUAGCUCAUAUUAUUAUCAAAGCAUUAAUUAAGAACUAAGUAAAAUAAAAAUUCUGAAAGAACUUAGUAAUUAGUAUCACGUGUAUAUGUGAUGUUAUGGAAUUUAACUAUGGCAAUUAAGUGAGAGGAGAUGGAAAGCUCUGAUGGCUACACAUUUUCAAAUCUUUCUUGUAUGAAGAUAGUGGUAAAGAAGAAAAUGUAUAACAAAAUGGCUCGUGUUUUUAUUUUAUUUUGUCAAUCAAGCCUUUUUUUUGCAAUGUCAAGUCACUUAUUCACAUUACAGCUCAUACACAUCCACACAUUCACAUUAAUGCAGUUUCUAAAUGAAUAUGGCUGAAAGGUCAUUAGUCUAAAUGUAGCAAAAAGUAAUCUUCAUCAUCAUCCCAUAUCUAUCUGAGUAUUUCACUGUGGUUAAUUAAUUUGAACACAAUGUCAACAUUUCCGUACACGGUUUUAACGAACAGACACUUUCAUUUCCAAAAAGAAGAGCAUGCGAGAAGAGAGGAGAUGAGAAAAGAGAGAGAAAGAGAGAGGGAGGCAUAGAGAAAGCGGGAGACAGGAGGGAGGGAUACAGUUGGAGGGAGGUAGGGACACACAGACAGAUAAGGAGACAGAAGCAUUCCCGCUAUGCCACAUAUGUUUACAUGAUACCUGUAGCUGGUAGCUUUGUAGCUAGCUUCUAGCAUGUUACUUUCGUUUACGUCUUCGCUUAGUUCUUUCUGGAACGGAUGCUUCGUCGUUGACGAGGUACCUUUUGUAACGUACUGGAUCCAUUAUUUUUCUUUAUUUGUUGCUUAUUUACCACAGACCGUAAAGCAUACUGGCAAGCAUGUAUCCACUCUGCUCCGAUCGGCCGCUACAGAGUCGCGUGCGAAUGACGUCAUCAACCGCGCUGGGCCACUUGUUGAUGACGUCAUUCCCAUGCAGGCGCGAACGCGCCGAAAGAUAACGGCUGGGACUAAGUAUAAAGUAUUAAAAAUGGAGACAUCAGCGUUCCGCUAUGUCCUACUUGAAUGGACUGAGGGUGAUGAUCGUGGGGCGCAUAGUAUUUUGGCGAUGGACUGUGUCCGGAACUUUUCAGUUCAAGAUUUUUUUGCCUCGACUGAACAAAACGAGAAGCUGGUGGAAUGACGAAAAGGCCGCCAACCCUGGCCGGUUCACCGAGCCAAAAUUGUUGACGUGGCAAGUAAGUUAUGUUACAUUUCUAUUAUGUAUAUCACAUUAAAUUUUGCUCGCACUUAAAGAAGUGUAAAAUGGAUCUUGUUACCUGACUAGCUUAGUAUGCUGGCUGUUAGCUACCUAAUUUGCUAAUGCUACCUAAGUCUCUUAAUUGGGACUAAUGCUACGUUUGGUAACGUUAAACAUGAUUAGACAAACGUUUGCAGUAAACAUUUCAAUUUUAUUGCACCAGAAUUUGAAAAACCUCUCCAAAUUAAACUGCGUGAGAUUGAGGUGGAGAAAGAGGGCACACAAACAAAACGUCCUCACAUCCCAAACUCAAAGUACAUUGAGCAGCAGGGGAAGACUGAGAAGGCUUCAAAAAAAAAGGUAACUGACUGCACCAAUUGGUGCUUUAGUUCAAGUUAUCUCCCCUCUCUUGUUUCUUAAUGUGUAGGCAUGUUUGUAGAUUUGUAAUUGUGUCAUCUUUGAUGAUUUAAUGUGCUUUGACAAGAUAUAUGUGCAAGCUGGUGUAACGCAAGUUAAUAAGAGUUGAGCUAAAAGUCAGUCUGUGUCUUUCUGUCGGUUGACAAUAAAAAGGGAGGGUCUUCCAAAUACAAGCACCAGGAGGGUGAGAAGCAGGAGGAGGGUCAUGACAGACUUUCAAAGAACAAGGUACACUACCAGUCGUCCUGUGUGUGCUGUUACAUUACAAUACAUUCAUGGUUCCUCUGUUUCUCCCUCUCCCUCCAAAGGUUGCCGUGAAAAAGAAAAAUCUUUCUAAAUACGAGGAGGAGGAGGAGGAGGAAGUGGAUGAUGAGGCACGUCAUGACACAAAGAACAAGGUACACUACCAGUCUGCAUCCAGUGUGUGUUAUUACAUUGCAAUACAGUAAAGAUAAGUAAGACUUUUAUAAUAAAGUGCAUUACCAGUAGCUGUUACAAGGUAUGACACCAGCACAGUAGGCAACUUUGUCCUCUCUCUUUCUCUCUCCCUCCCAGCGGGCCAGAGAAGAGGAGGAGCAUAUUGGGGAUGAAGACGACAAAGUACCAGCCUCAAAGAAAAAGGUAGCCUAAAUGAUGACAUCCGGUGUGUGGUGUAGACGUCUGUGCCGUAGACGUCUUGCUACCUUCCUCUUACAUUUCUUAUGACAUCCUCCCAGAAAAUCAGAAUCAACCAUUUACAAAAGUUAAAGUUAUAUAACAAUUAGCUGUUGUUCUUCUCUGUAUUUCUCUUUCUCAUAGAGUGCUGCUGAAUUUAGAAAGCAACUGGACGAACAGAUGUGGGAGAGAAAAAAAAUUGAACAAAUGCAAAGAAAUUUGCAGGAGUUGCGAAAUGAAGUUCAGUCUCUCAAAAGUGAAAAUGCACAUCUGAAAGAUGUUCUGGAAUGGGAAGCAACCUGAAUGGUACAAAAACAUGUUGCUAAUCUCUUCUGUCCUUAAAAAAACAAAAAACAAGUCAGUCAUAUUCUGUGUAAUGAAUCAUGUUUGUGUGCGGGCAUACCAUCGCUUUUGUACUUGCCAUUUUUGUAUUUCCUUGCACCUCAAGAAAACGUAAUGUGUGUGUGUUACGACCCCCUGGAUGGUCUAGGGGUGCGGGGACCAUAAACAUAUAGGCAGAACCUGGUCGGGUGUAAAAGGGUAGUAUUUAUUGGCAACCAGAGGUAAACAGGCACGUAACAACAAACAAAAGGAGGGUGGAUGAGGGUGCUGUGAAAAGACAAACUAAGUAAAAUAAAAGAGAUCCCCAAAAGGAGAACUAUGCCUGAAUAUACGUUAAAACAAACAGUAGGCGCUUACCAUAAAAAACACAAAGAGCACAGCACCCACUACACCUAUGAAGCUAACAAACACAGAACUACGUGUGGUGAAAUCAGUAUAGACUCUGGCCCUAACUCACCCCCUUUUGUCAGCUCCGUGCUGGCAAAAACACACAGAACCAAAGCACAGUUCUCUACCCAGUUGCACUCAAUUACAAACACAGAAGGCACACAAGUCCACUGGCCAAGACAAGCCACCCCGAGCCACUGGUGGGCUCUCCUUAAGAGCUGGAGGUAAGGCUGCGAUGGUGACCUGCCAUUGGGCGCGCUGGGACAGGGUGGACGAAUGGGUGGAGCUGGAGUGAACCUGUGGGGCUCCACCGAAACCAGGAAGUAGGCGGGGCUUCAGUCCACAGGGCCGCACAGCCUACUUGGUACAGACAAGACAGAAAUACAGACCACGGUGACAGCCGUAACAGUGUGUAUAUAUAUAAAAAAAACUCUUGCUUACUCCACCUUCAAAUGCAUAAUGUGUUGAGAAGGGAAAACAAAACUUUUAAGACUUUAUAAGUUCACCACUUUAACCAUAGCCUACUUGUAUCAAUGUUUAUUAGGCAUCAAUGGAGACUGCAUAAGGUAUGGGCACAAUAACAGUGGGUAGACAGGUAAAUAAUAUCAAUAUAUACAGCAAGACAGAUCACACCCAGGCCCCGAAUCCACCUCCUCAAAGUGAUCCACUCGCCACCGAGUCGGAGGUUCCUCUGUCAUCCUCACUGGCACCAUCAAGGUUGUUCCAGUUUUCUCCAUACGUUUGUGUCACUUUUCCAUUUUUUUACAAGAUGUGAAAAUAUAUUUAGGGUGUUAUUGAAUAAACAUUCACAUACAAAUACCAGUCUUUCAUGAGAUUUUAAUGAAAGUUUAUAUUUAUUAUACAAGUAUUUGAUUCUAUAGGUCAGAAUGACUUAUUAUACUCAGUCUUUUGUUCCUGUAGAAACUCCACGUCCGCCGUCGCUGGCAGUUAUCGACCAGCUGCUCAACAAACCCCGUGAGCAGAAAGACACACUGAAGCUUGUGGACCAGGACUACGCUGCUCUAGUUCACAACUCCUGUACAGACCCCAACAGCAUGCUCCACCCAACAACAAAACUACAUAUUCUACAAUAUGUAAAGCACCUCAGCAAAUUGUUGAACACCAGUUCCUCUUUAAACGUCAGUCCAGAAAAACUGUAAGAGAGGCAGAAACUCUCUGACAGAGGUGAGUGAGACCACUAGUGUGCCAGUUGUUACGAUGUCUGUUGCUAUUGUUCACCCACCUCCACCUGUUCAGAUGCUGACACAAGCUUCUAUUGAGAAGAUUGUACUCAACAUCAUGGAAAAGCAGCAGCAACAUAAACAGGAACAACAACAACAACCAAGUUAAUAUAUUUCAAUUACUAAUGUCUACAUGUGUAAUAAGUGAAAAUAAGUGAAUCACUGUAGUGAACAGUAAAAUAAGUUGGUCUGUAAGUACAAUCUAGUGAUAACCAGUAGACAGCAGAUUGGGGUAAACAUUUCCUUUAUUGUUAUUUGAGAAGGAUGAGGUAGGAUGGAGUGGGAGGUGAAGGAAGGUGUUCUUACAGGUGUCCAGUCUCAGGCACGUUGAUGUUGACGUCCUGGAUGGUCUGCUUUUUCUUCUCUCUUCUAUUUCUUUGUCUCCUUGUCCUGCAUCUUAUGCCUCAUUUUGUCCAUCUCCGUCUGCCGGUCUUUUUUUUUUUUUUUUAAGUACAGGCAGAUGUUUUCAAGGACUGUUUUGUUGUCCUCUAAUUCUUGGAUCCUGGUGAUACGGAUCUGAUGUUCUUUGGGGAUGGUAUUCUUUUUUUCAGAAUUUUUUUUUCAGGGUAGAUGGAUGAGAUAGGAUGGAGUGGGAGGUGAAGGAAGGUGUUCUUACAGGUGUCCAGUCUCAGGCACGUUGAUGUUGACGUCCUGGAUGGUCUGCUUUUUCUUCUCUCUCCUAUUUCUUUGUCUCCUUGUCCUGCAUCUUAUGCCUCAUUUUGUCCAUCUCCGUCUGCCGGUCUUUUUUUUUUUUUUUAAGUACAGGCAGAUGUUUUCAAGGACUGUUUUGUUGUCCUCUAAGUCUUGGAUCCUGGCGAUAAGGAUCUGAUGUUCUUUGGGGAUGGUAUUCUUUUUUUCAGAAUUGUUUUUUUUUCAGGGUAGAUGGAUGAGAUAGGAUGGAGUGGGAGGUGAAGGAAGGUGUUCUUACAGGUGUCCAGUCUCAGGCACGUUGAUGUUGACGUCCUGGAUGGUCUGCUUUUUCUUCUCUCUCCUAUUUCUUUAUCUCCUUGUCCUGCAUCUUAUGCCUCAUUUUGUCCAUCUCCGUCUGCCGGUCUUUUUUUUUUUUUUUUUAAGUACAUGCAGAUGUUUUCAAGGACUGUUUUGUUGUCCUCUAAUUCUUGGAUCCUGGUGAUAAGGAUCUGAUGUUCUUUGGGGAUGGUAUCCUCCGUUUGUUGGAUCUUAGCGAUCAGGCACAACUCAGUGAAACCACUGCUUGUGACCAUCUCGUGGUGGGUAUCCUCUCGGCAGGUUGUCAGAGAAAAAUGAAAUGAAAUGUGUGCAAUAUAAAUUAACAGUACAGUUAAUCAAAGCCGCCCAAUUAAAAAAUAAAAAAUAACAAAACAAUAUUUAAAUAAAUGUACAUGAAAUAAAAAUAAGGCAGAAAUGAGGUAAGGGAAAUGUGCAAACCUGAUUAGGUUGUAAAAAAAAUAAGCAGCCAGAGAAUCCUUCUGGGAUAUUUUUUUUUUUUUUAGAUCUUUCUUAUUUAGAUCUCUCUUUUUUUUCAGAUCUUGUUUUUUUUUUUUUUUUUUUUUUAGAUCUUUUUUAGUUUUUUUUAAAUUUCUUUUUUUUCAGGGUAGAUGGAUGAGGUAGGAUGGAGUGGGAGGUGAAGGAAGGUGUUCUUACAGGUGUCCAGUCUCAGGCACGUUGAUGUUGACGUCCUGGAUGGUCUGCUUUUUCUUCUCUCUCCUAUUUCUUUGUCUCCUUGUCCUGCAUCUUAUGCCUCAUUUUGUCCAUCUCCGUCUGCCGGUCUUUUUUUUUUUUUUUUAAGUACAGGCAGAUGUUUUCAAGGACUGUUUUGUUGUCCUCUAAUUCUUGGAUCCUGGUGAUACGGAUCUGAUGUUCUUUGGGGAUGGUAUUCUUUUUUCAGAAUUUUUUUUUCAGGGUAGAUGGAUGAGAUAGGAUGGAGUGGGAGGUGAAGGAAGGUGUUCUUACAGGUGUCCAGUCUCAGGCACGUUGAUGUUGACGUCCUGGAUGGUCUGCUUUUUCUUCUCUCUCCUAUUUCUUUGUCUCCUUGUCCUGCAUCUUAUGCCUCAUUUUGUCCAUCUCCGUCUGCCGGUCUUUUUUUUUUUUUUUUUUUUAAGUACAGGCAGAUGUUUUCAAGGACUGUUUUGUUGUCCUCUAAUUCUUGGAUCCUGGUGAUAAGGAUCUGAUGUUCUUUGGGGAUGGUAUCCUCCGUUUGUUGGAUCUUAGCGAUCAGGCACAACUCAGUGAAACCACUGCUUGUGACCAUCUCGUGGUGGGUAUCCUCUCGGCAGGUUGUAAAAAAAAAAGAAAUGAAAUGUGUGCAAUAUAAAUUAACAGUACAGUUAAUUAAAGCCGACCAAUUAAAAAAUAAAAAAUAACAAAACAAUAUUUAAAUAAAUGUACAUGAAAUAAAAAUAAGGCAGAAAUGAGGUAAGGGAAAUGUGCAAACCUGAUUAGGUUGUAAAAAAAAUAAGCAGCCAGAGAAUCCCUCUGGGAUCUUUUUUUUUUUUUAGAUCUUUCUUAUUUAGAUCUCUUUUUUUUCAGAUCUCUUUUUUUUUUUUUUUUAGAUUUUUUUUUUUCAGGGUAGAUAGAUGAGGUAGGAUGGAGUGGGAGGUGAAGGAAGGUGUUCUUACAGGUGUCCAGUCUCAGGCACGUUGAUGUUGACGUCCUGGAUGGUCUGCUUUUUCUUCUCUCUCCUAUUUCUUUAUCUCCUUGUCCUGCAUCUUAUGCCUCAUUUUGUCCAUCUCCGUCUGCCGGUC